AUUGAACGCUGGCGGCAGGCCUAACACAUGCAAGUCGAACGAGUGGCGGACGGGUGAGUAAUGUCUGGGAAACUGCCCGAUGGCGGGGGAUAACUACUGGAAACGGUAGCUAAUACCGCAUACCAUCGGAUGUGCCCAGAUGGGAUUAGCUAGUAGGUGGGGUACCGGCUCACCUAUGCGACGAUCCCUAGCUGGUCUGAGAGGAGGACCAGCCACACUGGAACUUAGAAACGGGCCAGAAGCCUACGGGAGGCAUAAGUGGGGAAUAGUGCACAAUGGGCGCAAGCCUGAUGCAGCCAUGCCGCGUGUAUGAAGAAGGCCUUCGGGUUGUAAAGUACUUUCAGCGAGGAGGCGUGACUCGCAGAAGAAGCACCGGCUAACUCCGUGCCAGCAGCCGCGGUAAUUC
rnacentral:rRNA from 1 species